rnacentral:rRNA from 1 species
UUUGAUCAUGGCUCAGAUUGAACGCUGGCGGCAGGCCUAACACAAGCAAGUCGAGCGGUAGAGAGAAGCUUGCUUCUCUUGAGAGCGGCGGACGGGUGAGUAAUGCCUAGGAAUCUGCCUGGUAGUGGGGGAUAACGUUCGGAAACGGACGCUAAUACCGCAUACGUCCUACGGGAGAAAGCAGGGGACCUUCGGGCCUUGCGCUAUCAGAUGAGCCUAGGUCGGAUUAGCUAGUUGGUGAGGUAAUGGCUCACCAAGGCGACGAUCCGUAACUGGUCUGAGAGGAUGAUCAGUCACACUGGAACUGAGACACGGUCCAGACUCCUACGGGAGGCAGCAGUGGGGAAUAUUGGACAAUGGGCGAAAGCCUGAUCCAGCCAUGCCGCGUGUGUGAAGAAGGUCUUCGGAUUGUAAAGCACUUUAAGUUGGGAGGAAGGGUUGUAGAUUAAUACUCUGCAAUUUUGACGUUACCGACAGAAUAAGCACCGGCUAACUCUGUGCCAGCAGCCGCGGUAAUACAGAGGGUGCAAGCGUUAAUCGGAAUUACUGGGCGUAAAGCGCGCGUAGGUGGUUUGUUAAGUUGGAUGUGAAAUCCCCGGGCUCAACCUGGGAACUGCAUUCAAAACUGACUGACUAGAGUAUGGUAGAGGGUGGUGGAAUUUCCUGUGUAGCGGUGAAAUGCGUAGAUAUAGGAAGGAACACCAGUGGCGAGGGCGACCACCUGGACUAAUACUGACACUGAGGUGCGAAAGCGUGGGGAGCAAACAGGAUUAGAUACCCUGGUAGUCC